rnacentral:lncRNA from 1 species
AUUUUUUUCCUGACCAUCAGUCAGUGUGUGAUGUUUUCAUGAGGAAUCUGGAUGAACUUGGCUGGAAAGACUGGGAGGAGCCCUGUGGACUCCAGCAAGCAGAAUGUGCAGCAGGUAGUGAGUGCCGCUCAGGAGACUGUCGUCCAAGUAAACUGCAGAGGAAAUUAUUUCUUAGUUCUGUACAAAAGGAGGCUCUUGGCUCAGUGUGCCUGCAUUCCAAAGCUGAGGAGAGAAGAAAGUGAUUAGUUUUGGAAUGCUGGAUUCACUGUGGUUUGCAGCUCUGGGGUGCUGUGCAGCAGCAGGUGACAAGAAAAACAGAAAGUGAGCAUUCAGAACUGGAGUCUACAGAAAAGCAAACAUCAGGAUUCAGAGACUUGGAGGUAUGUAGGUAAAAGCAUCUGUGCUUUUCUCUGAAUUUUCUAACAUAUUGAAAUGCUGGCCUAGAAUCUGGUACUAAAAGAGGUUCCCAAAUAUUUUAAUUAAAGGAAGAACACUCCUUGGUUAAAACAAACAAACAACAAAUGAAAACACCCCAAAUAAAUAAAACUCAAACCCAGAGUUCAUCAAGAUUGUUGACCCAGAUAUCUCUGUUAAGAUACUAAAACUUGUGCAAUGUGUUUUUAGUCAAAG